rnacentral:rRNA from 1 species
AUUGAACGCUGGCGGCAGGCCUAACACAUGCAAGUCGAGCGGAUGAAGGUAGCUUGCCACCUGAUUCAGCGGCGGACGGGUGAGUAAUGCCUAGGAAUCUGCCUGGUAGUGGGGGACAACGUUUCGAAAGGAACGCUAAUACCGCAUACGUCCUACGGGAGAAAGUGGGGGAUCUUCGGACCUCACGCUAUCAGAUGAGCCUAGGUACGAUUAGCUAGUUGGUGAGGUAAAGGCUCACCAAGGCGACGAUCGUUAACUGGUCUGAGAGGAUGAUCAGUCACACUGGAACUGAGACACGGUCCAGACUCCUACGGGAGGCAGCAGUGGGGAAUAUUGGACAAUGGGCGAAAGCCUGAUCCAGCCAUGCCGCGUGUGUGAAGAAGGUCUUCGGAUUGUAAAGCACUUUAAGUUGGGAGGAAGGGCAGUAAGUUAAUACCUUGCUGUUUUGACGUUACCGACAGAAUAAGCACCGGCUAACUUCGUGCCAGCCGCCGCAGUAAUAC